GGACAGGUGGCGGAGUGGUCGAUCGCGCACGCUUGGAAAGCGUGUGUACGUGAAAGCGUACCGAGGGUUCGACUCCCUCUCUGUCCG
rnacentral:tRNA from 1 species